GACGAACGCUGGCGGCGUGCUUAACACAUGCAAGUCGAACGGUGAAGCGCCUUCCUUUUUGGUGGGUGUGGAUGAGUGGCGAACGGGUGAGUAACACGUGAGUAACCUGCCCCCUUCUUCUGGAUAACCGCAUGAAAGUGUGGCUAAUACGGGAUAUUCUGGGUCUGUCGCAUGAUGGGUCUGGGAAAGAUAUUGUUUCGGUGGGGGAUGGGCUCGCGGCCUAUCAGCUUGUUGGUCGGGUGAUGGCCUACCAAGGCGGUGACGGGUAGCCGGCCUGAGAGGGUGGACGGUCACACUGGGACUGAGACACGGCCCAGACUCCUACGGGAGGCAGCAGUGGGGAAUAUUGCACAAUGGGCGCAAGCCUGAUGCAGCGACGCCGCGUGAGGGAUGGAGGCCUUCGGGUUGUGAACCUCUUUCGCCAGUGAAGCAGGCCUGCCUCGUUUGUGGGUGGGUUGACGGUAGCUGGAUAAGAAGCGCCGGCUAACUACGUG
rnacentral:rRNA from 1 species